UAUGCAGUUCCGAUCUCCACAGUCAAAACCUUAGAGAGGAGGGUUAGCAACCACCUUAGCAGAUGGCUGGGGCUGCCAAAGAGCCUGAGCAGCAUCGCACUCAAUGGACACCACAACAAACUGCAACUGCCCUUCAAAUCCUUGGAGGAAGAAUUCAAGCCUCUGAUUCAUCUGCCGCCCACUUUCACAAGAGAUAUUUAUAAACCGGCACAUUUCUGUAAGACCCUGGGGGAGACUGGAGCACCUGGAAGAUACCCAACCGUUCACUGUGAGAACAUGAAAACUCCUCCAAGACGGCACUGGAGGACAAUGCUGGACAUUAAGAACUUCCGAUGCUGCAGGUCUGCACUUCCAUAGAGCUGCUCAUUGGCUGAGGAGCUGGACUUGGUGCGGACCAUGUUGUUGCCUGGCACAGGAAGGCAGCGGAGUCAGUGCGCGAUGGCGGUAUGCAGUCUAACUGCGAGUGAUUGUCUUGGAUGUUUCUCUUGUGGUCGCAAGACCCUGUUGGACAUUGGUAAUGUAAAAUGCUGCAAGCCCAAUUCUUUAGUUUAUUCACAAGACAGAUGGCGGGGGAGCUGCAUGGUCUCCAUUGUCGUGAGGAAUAGGCCUCAUGCCGUGGGCUUGCAUAUUAUAGCAGUCCAGGAGAGGAGAUGCCAGAGCUGGUAUAGUGCAGUGCCCAUGCUGGGGUGGGGACUGGCCCCUUCUGUUGGUGCUGCCCUCCUGUGUUCAAUCGAUGGAAUGACAAGCUGUAUUGCAUGUGUGUGUACGCUCCUCUGCAGUCUACUAAAAAUUGCUUGUUCUUGCUGAUAGCACCCAUGCGUUAUCAAUUUACAGGACGUGUCACUCAGGGACUUAGGCUAUAAUAUAUUUUUUAGUGUGACUGUAUGUUUUACUGCUAUUGUAUAUGUGCUAUAUAUGCCUUGUGUUGUGUAUGACUGUUGCUACUGUGUUUUACACUUUGGCUCCAGAGGAAUACCGUCUCGUUUGGCUGUAUUCAUGGGUAUUCAUGUAUGGUUGAAUGAC